GACGAACGCUGGCGGCGUGCUUAACACAUGCAAGUCGAACGGAAAGGCCCUGCUUUUGUGGGGUGCUCGAGUGGCGAACGGGUGAGUAACACGUGAGAAACCUGCCCUUGACUUUGGGAUAACUUCAGGAAGCUGGGGCUAAUACCGCAUAGGAGCUACUGCUGCGUGGGGGGGGUUGGAAGGUUUAGGCGGUUGGGGUUGGACUCGCGGCUUAGCAGCUUGUUUGUGGGGUAGUGGCUUGGCAAGGCUUCGUCGGGUGGUCGGCCGGGGAGGGGGGCCGGCCAUACUGGGCCUGCGACUCGGCCCAGAAGCCUACGGGAGGCAGGAGUGGGGAAUAUUGCCCUAUUGGCGGAAGCCUGAGGCAGCAACGCCGCGUGUGGGAUGGCGGCCUUCGGGUUGUAGACCGCUUGCGCCUGGGAUGAAGCGGUAGUGACGGUAAUGGGUAAAGAAGCACCGGCUAACUACGUG
rnacentral:rRNA from 1 species